GACGAAGGCUGGCGGCGUGCUUAACACAUGCAAGUCGAACGGAAAGGCCCUGCUUUUGUGGGGUGCUCGAGUGGCGAACGGGUGAGUAACACGUGAGUAACCUGCCCUUGACUUUGGGAUAACUUCAGGAAACUGGGGCUAAUACCGGAUAGGAGCCCCUGCUGCAUGGUGGGGGUUGGAAAGUUUCGGCGGUUGGGGAUGGACUCGCGGCUUAUCAGCUUGUUGGUGGGGUAGUGGCUUACCAAGGCUUUGACGGGUAGCCGGCCUGAGAGGGUGACCGGCCACAUUGGGACUGAGAUACGGCCCAGACUCCUACGGGAGGCAGCAGUGGGGAAUAUUGCACAAUGGGCGGAAGCCUGAUGCAGCAACGCCGCGUGCGGGAUGACGGCCUUCGGGUUGUAAACCGCUUUCGCCUGUGACGAAGCGUGAGUGACGGUAAUGGGUAAAGAAGCACCGGCUAACUACGUG
rnacentral:rRNA from 1 species